rnacentral:rRNA from 1 species
CUGGCGGCGUGCUAACACAUGCAAGUCGAACGAGAAAGUGGAGCAAUUCAUGAGUAAAGUGGCGACCGGGUGAGUAACACGUGACUAACCUACCUCCGAGUGGGGAAUAACUCCGGGAAACCGGGGCUAAUACCGCAUAACAUCGCAAGAUCAAAGCAGCAAUGCGCUUGGAGAGGGGGUCGCGGCUGAUUAGCUAGUUGGCGGGGUAACAGCCCACCAAGGCGAAGAUCGGUAUCCGGCCUGAGAGGGCGCACGGACACACUGGAACUGAAACACGGUCCAGACUCCUACGGGAGGCAGCAGUGGGGAAUUUUGCGCAAUGGGGGAAACCCUGACGCAGCAACGCCGCGUGGAGGAUGAAGCCCUUUGGGGCGUAAACUCCUUUCGACUCGGACGAUAAUGACGGUACGAGUGGAAGAAGCACCGGCUAACUCUGUGCCAGCAGCCGCGGUAAUACAGAGGGUGCGAGCGUUGUUCGGAAUUAUUGGGCGUAAAGGGCGCGUANGCGGUGCGGUAAGUCACCUGUGAAAUCUCCUGGCUUAACUGGGAGUCUGCAGGCGAAACUACCGUGCUGGAGUGUGGGAGAGGUGCGUGGAAUUCCCGGUGUAGCGGUGAAAUGCG